ACGGCCGACAAAUUUGAAAAAAUAGAAGUCUCAUUUACUUGCCACGACUCAGAGAGUCAAGAAUUUUUCCCACCAGAAAUUCCAAGGAAGCUUCGUUCAGUGGAUGCCACCUAUGCUUAUUUAUUUUUCCUCCUCUCUUUUUCUACUCUCUCACUACUCUUUAAUCUUGAUCCUCUUUAAUCUUGCUCACCAGUCUCUCUCUUUCUCUCUCUUUCUCUCUCCUCUCUUCUUCCAAUCAACAAAACUGGAAAGGAUCUUUCUUCGGCAAUUACAGGUAAUGUUUUUUCACCUUUGAAAGACCCAUUGUUCAUCCUCACAAGUUAAUUAUUUACAAGAAUCUUUAAUACCAAUAAGUUAAUUACAUGUAAGUUCUUAAACCUAGCUCUUUUAUCUUGGUUUAUAUGCUUUGAAAGAUCUAAGAUUCUAAGGUUAAGAAACACCAAUAAUAUAUAUAUAUAUACACACACACAUCGGAUUGAUUGUUUAAUUGCUUGGAAGAUUGAUGAUGAUGAUGUUGAUUAUGUCAAAGAGAGUACUGGUUCUGGUGAUCAAAUAAUUGAGACAAUAUUUUGUUGAGUUAUUGAGUUAGGCUAAACUCUUUGUCACGCCAAUUUACAGCAUUUGUUAUUAUCUGCACUUUUUGUAAUAUGUUUUUCCCAUUAAACCCUUGCCUUUGUAUAAUUUAUUAAGCUGCCUCUCUCUCUCUCUAUAUGUAUAUAUAUAGCAUUUUCCUUAUGUAGGGAAUAUAUAGGAAAUUAUUUUUUAUUUUUUAUUUUUAUUUUUUAUUUUUUAUUUUUGGCUUUUUUCAAAGUUUCAGUAUAUUUGUUUAUUUAUGGGUAAAGUGCAAACCCCCUACUAUAUACAAAAUAUGCAAAUACCCCCAUGGUGUUAAAAAAAAAUCCCUAAAUUUUCUAAAUUGAGCAAAUAAGGAUAUUUUUUCGAUUUGAAGACUAAAAUACCUAAAAUGCCCUUGAAACAAUAAAAACAAAAAUAGAACUUAUUUAAAAAGUUGGGAUUUUUAUAAUUAAAAAAGUUGAAUUUUUUUUUUUAAAAAAUUGAGUAUUGGGUAUUUUGGAGUUCUUGUAAAAAUUUUGGGGUUUUUGGAGCUUUUAUAAACAACUAAAGGCUGAAAUAUGUAAAAUACCCAGUAUUUUGGGGUUUUUAUAAAAAAAAAUUGCCCAAAAUUGUUGACCAGGGGCAAUUUGCUACAAAAUGUUUCCUGCACAUUUUGUAUAUAGUUGGGGUACUUUUUGCACUUUACCUUUUAUUGAUUGACAUCGUUUAUAUACAAAUAUUGAUUGUGUUGUGAUUAUACAGAUUGUUUAUAGCACUUUUUCACUGAACUCCUUGAUCUUUGUUCGAUGGUUGCUAUGGGAUCCCAAGAAGCCUCCUCUACCCGGUGUUCUUAUCACGUUUUCUUGAGUUUUAGAGGCAGAGAUACCCGGAAGACCUUUACCGAUCACCUCUAUACAGCUCUCCUACAUGCAGGAAUACGCACAUUUAGGGAUGAUGAUGAGCUUGGGAGAGGAGAUGAUAUCUCCUCAAAACUGAUAAAGGCAAUCAAAGAGUCCAGGAUUUCAAUAAUUAUCUUCUCAAAAGACUAUGCAUCUUCAACAUGGUGCCUUGAUGAACUUCUAAUGAUCCUUGAACGCAAGAAGAGUGUUGGUCAUAUGAUUCUACCUGUAUUCUACCAUGUGCAUCCAUCUGAUCUAAGGUGGCUAAAGGGAAGUUUUGGGGAAGCAUUUGCAAAACACGAAGAGAGAUUGCAGUCGGAGUCAAAUGAAAGAAAAGAAGAAGGAAUGAACAAGAUAACGAGGUGGAAGGAAGCUUUAAGAGAAAUUGCAGAUUUGUCUGGAUCGGUUUUAAAAGAUGAGUAUGAGUUAAAUUUUAUUCAAGGAAUUGUUAAAGAUAUUGGCAGCAAAUUGAAUCGCACUAUAUUGAGUGUCUGUUCAUACCCAGUUGGAUUAGAUUUUCGUAUAAAAGAUAUUAAUUUGUGGUUGCAAGAUGGAUCAAACGAAGUCGAGAUAGUGGCAAUCUGUGGGAUGCGUGGAAUAGGAAAAACAACCAUUGCAAAAACUGUGUAUAACCUGAACUUUGACAAAUUUGAAGGUAGCAGUUUUCUUGCAAAUGUAAGAGAAACAUCAGAAGAACCCAGUAGUCUGCUCUGCUUACAAAGACAACUUCUUUCACAUAUUUUAAAGGGAAAAUAAAUAAAAAUUAGCAAUGUUGAUGAAGGAAUCAUAAAGAUAAGAGAAGCUAUUUGCUGCAAAAGAAUUUUACUUGUUCUUGAUGAUGUGGAUGACUGAGACCAAUUAAAUGUUGUACUCGCAAUGCGGAGUUGGUUUUAACGAGGAAGUAAAAUUAUCAUAACAACUACAAAUGAACAAUUGCUGAAGGCACAUGAACUGCACAAGCAACAUGUAGUUAAGGAUUUGACUAAUGAUGAAUCAUUUCAACUCUUCAAUUGGCAUGCCUUUGGACAAGACCAUCCCAUUGUAGGUUAUAUGGAGCACACAAAAAGGGUUGUACAGUAUUGUGGUGGGCAUCCUUUAGCUCUUCAAAUUUUGGGUUCUUCUCUAUCCGGAAGAAGCAUAGUUGUGUGGGAGAGUGCAAUAAAGAAACUGGAAGCAAUUCCUGACAGCCAGAUCCUAAAAAAGCUCAAAAUAAGCUUUGAUUCUUUACAAGAUGACCAUGACAAAAAUUUAUUUCUUUACAUUUCUUGUUUCUUUGUUUGAAAGGACCUAGAUUUUAUAAUUACAAUACUAGAUGAAUGUGAUUUUUAAACAAAGGCUGGGAUUCAGAAUCUCAUCGAUAGAUGUCUAUUAACAAUCGAUGAAAAUAACAAUAUAGUAAUGCAUCAAUUGAUUCAAGAAAUGGGAAGAGAGAUUGUCCGGCAAGAAUCACCCAAAGAACUUGGGAAGUGCAGCAGAGUAUGGCAUCAUAAGGAUGCUUUCAAUGUAUUAACAGAAAAAUCAGUAAGAAACACCCCUCUAAUGUCUGUUUUUAUUUUUUUGCUGUUCUGUUACUUAUCAACCUCGCUUAUCAGGGCACGGAAACAAUCGAAGGCCUCAUCCUAAAUUUGCAUGCAUAUGAGCAAGAUCGGCUUGCUAAGAAUUUCUUUGGUUUAUAUAAUUCAAAAAGGCAUCGUUCUGAAGAUUUUCUUGACAAAUUAACAUUGCCUUUUGGAAGCAAAUCAUCAAAGCGCCGCCGUCUAGGCUUCUCAUGGGCCCCCACACACUUUGCCUCAACAGAAUCAUUUUCCACAUCAAAUGAAGUAGGCUUGAAUACUGAUGCAUUUUUAGGGAUGCAAAAAUUAAGACUAUUCCAGCUCAAUAAUGUAAUGCUAACUGGAGACUACAAAGAAUUUCCUAAGAAGUUAAGAUGGUUGUGUUGGCGUGGGUUCUCCUUAAAAUCUAUACCCAGUGAAUUUCCUCUGGAGAGCCUGGUUGCUCUUGACCUGAGUAACAAUAACUUAAAACAACUUUGGAAUGGAAAAAAGUUGCUCAAAUCAUUGCAAAUCCUCAAUCUCAGUCAUUCCCAUAACCUUACCAAUACGCCCGAUUUCUCAAAACUCCCUAAUCUUGUGAGAUUGAAUCUUCAAGAUUGCAUAAAUUUGAUCGAGGUUCAUAAAUCCAUUGGGGAAUUAGAGAGACUAGUUCAGUUAAAUCUAAAAGGCUGCAAGAAUCUUAGAAAUAUUCCCAUACAAAUUGGUCAGCUAAAAUCACUUGAGAAACUCAUCCUCUCUGGUUGCUCAAAUCUUGCCAAGUUGCCGAGAGAGCUGUGCGAGAUGGAAUCUUUAAAGGUUCUUCAUGCAGAUGGUGUUGCAAAAAAACUACCACCCUCUACUAGUAGUUACAUAAAAUCAUGGAAUUCACGCUGGUUAUCUUGGGUUUCUAGACCAAUAAAAUCUCCAGAAUCGAUCAGUUCUUCAUUGGUUUGCUUGCCACGCUCAUUAGUAAGCUUGAGUCUUGUAGACUGUAAUCUAUCAGAUGAUGCCAUUCCGAGGGAUCUUGGUAGCCUGUCCCUGUUGCAGAACUUGAAUCUAGGGGGAAAUCCAAUCAGUAGCCUUCCAGAGAGCAUUAAGGGACUCACCAUGCUCCACUCACUUGAAUUACGAAGGUGCAAAAGACUCUAAUUGCUUCCAGAGCUACCAAUGAGUUUACAAAUGUUGUUUUUAGAAGAUUGUAGGUCACUGGAAGUAAUGAUAAAUCUUCCAAAUCUAUUGAGCUCACUGUCCAUGCAUGCGUUUGGAUGUGAAAAACUAGUCGAGGUUUAGAACUUGUUCAGGUUAGAACCUAUUUGUAACAUUGAUGCAGAAAUGAUCAAGAAUUGGGGAUUGGUUGAGUUGGAAUCCAUGGGAAAGGUUGAGGUGAAAUUGUUCAAUCGCCUGACAGAACAGCGCAAUAUUGGUCCCAUCCAGGUACUGUAUGAAUGCGGUAUAGUCAGCAUUUUUCAUCCUGGAAAUGAGGUUCCAUGUUGGUUCAGCAAAAAGAGUACUACAAUGUCCUCCAUAUGUUUCAAUGUUCCUUCACUUCCUAAUCUCAAGAUCCGAGGCUUGAAUGUAUGCGUCGUUUAUGCAAGUCCUUACACACCUUUAUGUAU